UACGAAGGGGGCUAGCGUUGUUCGGAAUCACUGGGCGUAAAGCGCACGUAGGCGGAUUGUUAAGUCGGGGGUGAAAUCCUGAGGCUCAACCUCAGAACUGCCUUCGAUACUGGCAAUCUCGAGUCCGGAAGAGGUUGGUGGAACAGCUAGUGUAGAGGUGAAAUUCGUAGAUAUUAGCUAGAACACCAGUGGCGAAGGCGGCCAAACUGGUCCGGUACUGACGCUGAGGUGCGAAAGCGUGGGGAGCAAACAGGG
rnacentral:rRNA from 1 species